rnacentral:rRNA from 1 species
AAGACAUGAAGUUAGGUCAGCAAACCCGCUGAAUUUAAGCAUAUAAGUAAGCGGAGGAAAAGAAACUAAAUAGGAUUCCCUCAGUAAUGGCGAAUGAACAGGGAUGAGCUCAGUAUGGAAAUUGGGGCCUGUGGCCUUGAAUUGUAGUCUGGAGAUGUACCACCAACUGGGGCGCAGAUGUAAGCCUCUUGGAAAAGAGCAUCAAUGAGGGUGAGAGUCCCGCAUGGCAUCUGCAGUCCCCAGUGCACGGUGUACCUUCUAAGAGUCACGUUCCUCGGGAUUGGAGCGCAAAUCGGGUGGUAAAUUUCAUCUAAAGCUAAAUAUAGUUUCGAGACCGAUAGCAAACAAGUACCAUGAGGGAAAGGUGAAAAGGACUUUGAAAAGAGAGUUAAAAGUGCCUGAAAUUGCUGAAAGGGAAGCGAAUGGAACCAGCGAAACUUGGCAAGAUUGCUGUGUGUCAAUGUGAUUGCUUGCUGCUGCAACGUAAGUGUGGUAGUAAGUCUUGAGCAGGACAUGCUCGGUGUUUCUUGCCUUGUGUGUCACCUGUGGUUCGUGAUUGAGGAAAACUUCAGGGACAUGGUAGCCUGUCUCCGGGUGGGUGAACGUGUCUGCUGGAACUCAUUCGUGGACUGCUUGGUGACUAAAUGGUUUCAUCCGACCCGUCUUGAAACAC